AUUGAACGCUGGCGGCAGGCUUAACACAUGCAAGUCGAGCGGAGUGAUGGUGCUUGCACUAUCACUUAGCGGCGGACGGGUGAGUAAUGCUUAGGAAUCUGCCUAUUAGUGGGGGACAACAUCUCGAAAGGGAUGCUAAUACCGCAUACGUCCUGCGGGAGAAAGCAGGGGAUCACUUGUGACCUUGCGCUAAUAGAUGAGCCUAAGUCGGAUUAGCUAGUCGGUGGGGUAAAGGCCUACCAAGGCGACGAUCUGUAGCGGGUCUGAGAGGAUGAUCCGCCACACUGGGACUGAGACACGGCCCAGACUCCUACGGGAGGCAGCAGUGGGGAAUAUUGGACAAUGGGGGGAACCCUGAUCCAGCCAUGCCGCGUGUGUGAAGAAGGCCUUAUGGUUGUAAAGCACUUUAAGCGAGGAGGAGGCUCUUUUGGUUAAUACCCAAGAUGAGUGGACGUUACUCGCAGAAUAAGCACCGGCUAACUCUGUGCCAGCCGCCGCAGUAA
rnacentral:rRNA from 1 species